GGCCGAGCCCCGCCUCCUGUGGCCGGCCGAGCCCCAUUGGAGGAGGGGCCGAUGCGGGGCGGGCAGACCGGCCUAUCAGAGGGCCGCAGGCGGCACGGAGGGCGGGCCGCAGCUUUCCUCCCGGCCACGCUACUUGCACUGACCUUUGCGGGAUUUGUGGCCUGGUUUUUGUUUCCCAUUGCUUUGAUCUCGCUCAUGAAAUUGUACACGUUAAUCUCUGAGGAUGUCACAUACAUACAGACCAUGUGUAAAUGACUACCAGUUUUUUUUGACUCCUCCAAAGAGGAAAGGAUCCAAGUGUUGGGACUGACUGUUCAAGCAAAAAUAUUUUAAUGUUGCUGCUCUAAACUGAAUCACAACCAGCAAUAACAAGGAUGCAAUGUGACUCUGGCAACUUCUGAAACUACCUGAAGAUGCACUACCGUUCUUUAUGAAGAUGUUUAUUAGGCUCUAGAAUUCUGCAUUUUAUUUCAGAGCACGGUGGGUGCUGCCUCAAAGACUGCUUCUGAAAGUCAACAUGCUGCUGAGCAACGUGGGCUUAGAAAAAAUUACAGAAAUACUACAGUGUUUGAAGGGAAUUGAACAACAUAUGUGGCACGGCAAACAGACCUGGAAAUACCUGAAGUGGAGUACUGAAGCAUAAAAAGGUCGCUCUGUGCCUGUUCAGUCUAUUGGCUCAUGGCUGUCUCCAUGUCACUAGCACCUUACACAUUUUAUCAAAUAUAAACAAAAUGUUCUCUUCUACCUUUGUGUCAUGAGCAUUUUUUAAAUGUUGCUUUGUUGUGUUAUUAGAGACUGCACAGGAUAAUGGGCACGUGCUUAUUUCAAUUUUUCCCAUUGUAAGCAUCAGACUCUGGAAAAGGUGCUAGCAGAUGGACACUUGUGUUUCCGAGUUAACAGAUUCAUUGCUCCAAUGCAGUUUAAAUACCCUGCUGGAUUAGGAAUGUGAAGGAUGAAGCAGCUGUACGGUCAAUUUCUUACACCAACUAUCAAAGAUAACAGAUCUUGUGAUUUCACAGUGUGUUUUUUAAUGUACACACAAAGCUAUUUUUAUGCACUGAAAAAAACUAAAACAUUCACAUAGCUCACAGCUGUCAAGCUUCACAUCCACACAGGGUAACGUUCACCCUCCUUUGUGUAUCAGUUUUUUUUAUCUGAAGAACCACUCUUUGGGCCUGGCAAACAUUUAUCUC